rfam:Peptococcaceae bacterium BRH_c8a BRHa_1003655, whole genome shotgun sequence.
GAGGGUAGCCCCCUCGGCAUCGCUUUACAGGAAGGGGUGUCAAACUACUUCAAGGUGCUGCAAUCAAAAGUUGUGGUGCUGAGCGUUGAAGAAAAGGCUGUACAAAACAGUCAAGU